AUACUUACCUUAAGACGUCAGUGGAGAUCAAGAAGUCCGGCUGACCUAGUAUGCCUUUUUAAAGGAUGCUCCACAGUUAGAGGUCUCUACCUUAUCAUUUGAUGAGAUAGCAGUCCUCUCACGAUAUUUUUGGUGUGAGUUCCUUUGCAAUCCUCACUUAUUUGCGGAAGGUGUGCUUGCUGACGUUUCGUUCUCUCGUCGCCCAUCGGUUGGGCUGAGUUCUCUUUGAGAUCUUGGCCUACGGUGGGAGGCCCUUUAUUUCUUCUGCCUGGAGAAGUAGCGUGCUGAUUACAACUCAGCAUUGGGAGAAUUGGGAUUUUUAGUGCCAUAGGGGUUUGUACAUAAUUGGAUGAUUCCGAGAACUUGUUUCCUGCGAUUACUACUUCGGUGGGCAUUGUUAGGGAACUCGUGCUUGAAGAAGGGAUCCAUGGUACAUAUCCUGGCAUUAGAGGUCUUGAUAGAAACGGGUGGGUCUUACAAUUUUUGAUGUC